GUGUGUUUAGCUCAGUGGUAUUAGAGCAGCUCUCAUGAACGUAGAAGGUUGUGGGUUCAAACUUCAAAUCCCACAACACACA
rnacentral:tRNA from 1 species